rnacentral:rRNA from 1 species
UACGGGAGGCAGCAGUGGGGAAUAUUGCACAAUGGGCGCAAGCCUGAUGCAGCCAUGCCGCGUGUAUGAAGAAGGCCUUCGGGUUGUAAAGUACUUUCAGUCGUGAGGAAGGUGUUAAGGUUAAUAACCUUAGCAAUUGACGUUAGCGACAGAAGAAGCACCGGCUAACUCCGUGCCAGCAGCCGCGGUAAUACGGAGGGUGCGAGCGUUAAUCGGAAUUACUGGGCGUAAAGGGCACGCAGGCGGUUAAUUAAGUUGGAUGUGAAAUCCCCGGGCUUAACCUGGGAAUGGCAUUCAAGACUGGUUAGCUAGAGUCUUGUAGAGGGGGUAGAAUUCCAUGUGUAGCGGUGAAAUGCGUAGAGAUGGUGGAGGAAUACCGGUGGCGAAGGCGGCCCCUGGGACAAAGACUGACGCUCAUGUGCGAAAGCGUGGGGAGCAAACAGGGAUUGAAUCC